CCUACGGGAGGCAGCAGUGGGGAAUCUUGCGCAAUGGGCGAAAGCCUGACGCAGCCAUGCCGCGUGAAUGAUGAAGGUCUUAGGAUUGUAAAAUUCUUUCACCGAGGACGAUAAUGACGGUACUCGGAGAAGAAGCCCCGGCUAACUUCGUGCCAGCAGCCGCGGUAAUACGAAGGGGGCUAGCGUUGCUCGGAAUUACUGGGCGUAAAGGGAGCGUAGGCGGAUAGUUUAGUCAGAGGUGAAAGCCCAGGGCUCAACCUUGGAAUUGCCUUUGAUACUGGCUAUCUUGAGUACGGAAGAGGUAUGUGGAACUCCGAGUGUAGAGGUGAAAUUCGUAGAUAUUCGGAAGAACACCAGUGGCGAAGGCGACAUACUGGUCCGUUACUGACGCUGAGGCUCGAAAGCGUGGGGAGCAAACAGGAUUAGAUACCCUGGUAGUCCACGCUGUAAACGAUGAGUGCUAGUUGUCGGCAUGNAUGCAUGUCGGUGACGCAGCUACGCAUUAAGACGACUCCGCCGUCGGGGAGGUACGGUCGGUCGAAGUAAGUUAAAACGUUAAAAGGUAAAGUUAGUUACGGCGUUGAGACGNGCCGACGGACGACGACGAGGGAGGAGG
rnacentral:rRNA from 1 species